GACGAACGCUGGCGGCGUGCUUAACACGUGCAAGUCGAACGGAAAGGCCCUGCUUUUGUGGGGUGCUCGAGUGGCGAACGGGUGAGUAACACGUGAGUAACCUGCCCUUGACUUUGGGAUAACUUCAGGAAACUGGGGCUAAUACCGGAUAGGAGCUCCUGCUGCAUGGUGGGGGUUGGAAAGUUUCGGCGGUUGGGGAUGGACUCGCGGCUUAUCAGCUUGUUGGGGGGGUAGUGGCUUACCAAGGCUUUGACGGGUAGCCGGCCUGAGAGGGUGACCGGCCACAUUGGGACUGAGAUACGGCCCAGACUCCUACGGGAGGCAGCAGUGGGGAAUAUUGCACAAUGGGCGGAAGCCUGAUGCAGCAACGCCGCGUGCGGGAUGACGGCCUUCGGGUUGUAAACCGCUUUCGCCUGUGACGAAGCGUGAGUGACGGUAAUGGGUAAAGAAGCACCGGCUAACUACGUG
rnacentral:rRNA from 1 species